AGUGAUUCUAGCAGAAAGGUUUUGGGAAAGCCUGCCGGAGAGGGUGAAAGCCCCGUAGACGAAAACAGAGCAGACUGAGCAGGAUCCAGAGUACCACGAGACACGAGAAACCUUGUGGGAAGGCGGAGGGACCACCCUCCAAGGCUAAAUACUACUCAGUGACCGAUAGCGCAUAGUACUGUGAAGGAAAGGUGAAAAGGACCCCGGGAGGGGAGUGAAAGAGAACCUGAAACCCUGUGUUUACAAGCUGUGGAACUACGUUAAGGUAGGACCGCGUACUUUUUGUAGAACGGUCCGGCGAGUUGCGGAUACUGGCAAGGUUAAGCACUUAAGGUGCGGAGCCGAAGUGAAAGCAAGUGUUAAUAGCACGUAAAGUCAGUACAAGAAGACCCGAAACCGGGUGAUCUAUCCAUGUCCAGGUUGAAGCUGCCGUAAGAGGUAGUGGAGGGCCGAACGCACAUCCGUUGAAAAGGGUGGCGAUGAGGUGUGGGUAGGGGAGAAAUUCCAAUCGAACCCGGAGAUAGCUGGUUCUCCUCGAAAUAGCUUUAGGGCUAGCCUCGUAUUAGUCUUGCGGAGGUAGAGCACUGAAUUUCCUAGGGGGCGUCAAAGCCUACCGAAGAAUAUCAAACUCCGAAUGCCGCGUAGAUGAUGUACGGGAGUCAGACUGCACGAGAUAAGUUGGGUAGUCAAAAGGGAAAGAGCCCAGACCACCAGCUAAGGUCCCAAAGUGCGUGUUAAGUGGAAAAGGAUGUGGGAUUUCGAAGACAACCAGGAUGUUGGCUCAGAAGCAGCCACUCAUUCAAAGAGUGCGUAAUAGCUCACUGGUCGAGCGUCUUUGCGCGGAGAAUUUAACGGGGCUAAACCUGACACCGAAGCUUAGGCAAUACAGCAAUGUAUUGGGUAGGGGAGCGUUGUAUACGCGGUGAAACAGUAGCGCAAGCGGCUGUGGAGUGUAUAGAAGUGAGAAUGCCGGAAUGAGUAGCGCGAAUGCAGUGAGAAUCUGCAUGGCCGAAAGCCUCAGGUUUCUGGAGGAAGGUUCGUCCGCUCCAGGUUAGUCGGGAGCUAAGGUGAGGCCGGAAGGCGUAGCCGAUGCACAGACGGUAGAGAUUCCGUCACCACCAAAAGAGUUAAGCACAGGGACACAUUUGAAGUCUCAGAGCCGGGUGUUGGUUCCGGUAGAGAUCGAGGGAAAUUAGUACCGAAGUCCGGGAUGGAAGAUGGCGAGAAAAGCUGUGUGUAUUUCUGCGGUGCCCGUACCGCAAACCGACACAGGUAGGUAGGAAGAAGAUUCUAAGGCCAACGGGAGAAGGGUUGUUAAGGAACUCGGCAAAUUGACCCCGUAACUUCGGGAGAAGGGGUGCUCCAGAGAUGGAGCCGCAGAGAAUCGGCCCAAGCAACUGUUUACCAAAAACACAGGUUUGUGCUAAAUCGAAAGAUGACGUAUACGAGCUGACGCCUGCCCGGUGCUGGAAGGUUAAGAGGAGAUGUGCAAGCAUUGAAUCGAAGCCCCAGUGAACGGCGGCCGUAACUAUAACGGUCCUAAGGUAGCGAAAUUCCUUGUCAGGUAAGUUCUGACCCGCAUGAAAGGCGUAAUGAUUUGGGCACUGUCUCAACAGCCCGCCCGGCGAAAUUGUAGUACCGGUGAAGAUGCCGGUUACCCGCGACAAGACGGAAAGACCCCAUGGAGCUUUACUGUAGCCUAAUAUUGGGUUUCGAUGUUGCAUGCACAGGAUAGAUGGGACACAGGGAAACAAGUGCUUUGGCAUUUGUGGAGUGGCCGUUGGGAUACCAUCCUUGCGAUAUUGGAAUUCUAACCUGCGCCUUUGAAUCAAGGCGGGGGACAUUGUUAGGUGGGCAGUUUGACUGGGGCGGUCGCCUCCAAAAGAGUAACGGAGGCGUUCAAAGGUUCGCUCAGCUUGAACGGAAAUCAAGCAAAAGAGUGCAAACGCAGAAGCGAGCCUAACUGCGAGACUGACGGGUCGAGCAGUAACGAAAGUUGGAGUUAGUGAUCCGGUGGUAUGUGAGUGGAAAUGCCAUCGCUCAACGGAUAAAAGUUACCCUGGGGAUAACAGGCUGAUCUCCCCCAAGAGUCCACAUCGACGGGGAGGUUUGGCACCUCGAUGUCGGCUCAUCGCAUCCUGGGGCUGUAUUCGGUCCCAAGGGUUUGGCUGUUCGCCAAUUAAAGCGGUACGCGAGCUGGGUUCAGAACGUCGUGAGACAGUUCGGUCCCUAU
rnacentral:rRNA from 1 species